GUCGGGAAUUUUGGGCAAUGGGCGAAAGCCUGACCCAGCAACGCCGCGUGAAGGAUGAAGUAUUUCGGUAUGUAAACUUCGAAAGAAUAGGAAGAAUAAAUGACGGUACUAUUUAUAAGGUCCGGCUAACUACGUGCCAGCAGCCGCGGUAAUACGUAGGGACCAAGCGUUGUUCGGAUUUACUGGGCGUAAAGGGCGCGUAGGCGGCUUGUCAAGUCACUUGUGAAAUCUCUGGGCUUAACCCAGAACGGCCAAGUGAAACUGACAUGCUAGAGUGCAGAAGGGGCAAUCGGAAUUCUUGGUGUAGCGGUGAAAUGCGUAGAUAUCAAGAGGAACACCUGAGGUGAAGACGGGUUGCUGGGCUGACACUGACGCUGAGGCGCGAAAGCCAGGGGAGCAAACGGGAUUAGAAACCCUGGUAGUCC
rnacentral:rRNA from 1 species